CAUAAUAAUAAUAAUCAUAAUAAUGCCCAUCUUGCUAGGGAACUUGAUGGUGUUGAUAAGAUAAGAUACACGAAUGUGUGCCACUGCCACUAUGGCUCAAUGAUUAUAUAUGAACACAGGAAGAAGCAGUGAAAAACUUUCCUUUGGGUGAUGAACACCUUUUAAGGGACUCUUAACAUUGAAGUUUUUGUAGGCACUUGCUCAGAAUCACGCAAAAAGGUCUGCAAGGGUCUCUUUCACUGUUGAGAUGUAAGAAAUGUAGCUUCCAAUGUUUAACAAGUAUCACAAGGGGAUGGGCCAGAUUCAGUUAUAGUGCUUAUCCUCAUAAGAAAAGGGUGUAAUACUGAUACUGAGUGAUUAACAAAGGGAAGACAUGCUUGAUCAAAAUUUCUGCUAUCAUGUUAAUAAUGGUCACAUAAUUGCUGAAGUACAAGUGAAUAGAGAUGGACAUGUUGAAUAACAUAUAAGUAACAAAGACUCACAUAUUUAAUUACAGUGUAUUCGAUUUCGCGUUUAAACGUGAUUUGAUGUUUAUUUGUGUUUAGACACGUACCAAACACACAAUUUAAUGCUGCAUUGCAUUUA